rnacentral:lncRNA from 1 species
CACGAAUCGGUGACGUCACGACUAUUCUAACACCCGAGGGAACCCGUGAAGGGCCCACGCCACAACUGUGACUCGACGCACCAAGGAAAAAUACGGAAUAGUCCCGCGUAUCGUAACUAUAUUCUUUCAUCCAACCAGUGCCAAAAAAUAAAAUUCCGGUUCGGCUUUCCUAAAUAUCGGCGCCGUUUUCCCGGAACAUAGCUUUUUAAAAAAAUAUGGGGCAAAUCAUUCAGAGCUAUAAAUACACUAGGUCGUCGGUUCGGGUACCCAAUCGGCAGGUGGCAAGGCCGCGGUAGGUAGCGGCCCGCCAGAAGACGACGAAACAAUGUGGGUCCGGAAUCUGAUCCCUGAUCCUCGGCGCCUUUGGGUAAAGACGCAGAGACUCGACUCCGAUUUCGAUCGUAAAACUGACGAUUGCAAUAAACAGAAAGCCGACCGACCGUACGAGUAAAAAGGCGACGAGCCGGUUGCCCCUCCGACCUCACCCCACCAGUGCUGGGUAAUGCGACGGUCCGGAGUCCUUGAAAGGUCUGGGAGCCGGAGUUAGGGCGGAGGAUAACGAGCCAGACAAAGGAAGGAGGUCAAUGGAAGCCGCGGGGACCGAAAGGUCGAAGGUAGCGCCUGAAUGCUUGGGGGAAGCAAGCGGUGGGCAAGCAGGUGUUGUUUUAUAAACUUUCGCUUCGGUCACGUAACUGUUGUGUACCUGCGAAGAGAACCCGUCCAAUGAGAUUUAUUAACAGUUUCGGUAGUAUUGUUUGCCCGGGGACAGGCCGGACGGUUUGCCAAAAGCCGUGCACGUGCGCUACAGCCUUAAAAAUAGACGGAUGCAGAGAAAAAGAAAAAGGAACCAAACGGACGGUGAUUUACCUCAGGGUGAGACCAGUAUUUUCGGACGCGUUACAAAAAUAUAUACGGGACGAAAAGGAAAUUCGGUCCCGACUUUUCUGCCGAAUAACGACCGGAGUAUAGUUAAAAAAGCGAAAUGAUAAAAAAUAAACUCGCCUAGUGUUGACAAAAUCUACUUAUCACUAACCAGUGCCAGGGGCAUUUUGCACACUUCUUAUACCGACUCCGGAAUUCAAAUAAUAAUAAUAAUAAUCUAGAAUACAGUACUGUAUAUUUUUCUGCGCUGAAAAGGUACCGAUAUAACUAUUGGAAACGUUUUGCCAGUGUUUCCGAUGGAUGACGUUAGCAACCUUUUUUCUACAUUUGACUCAUUCUUUAAUGGUUCGGACCAUGCUUUACUACUCUAGUCAUACUCCAAACAGGUGUACAUCCCUGCUGGGCUUCGAAAUAAAAGACUAUUACCGGGAUGACGUCGGACGAAGAAUAAUUGUGAAACAAAUCCACUAAUAAAACAUACUGAAUUUAGAUAGGCCUAUAUAUUAUCAUUUCCUUGAAUCUAAAAACCUUAGAUGACGUUUAAAAAUUAUAAACCAGGAUACAUAUGUUAUAGGCCUUACAAUAUUUAAAAUGUUGUAUAAAGUACAAGACAAUCUUUUUUUUUUAAUCAAGAGUUAAUAUCCUUUACUGAUAAAAAUAUUAUAUCCCUUUGUCGUAAUUGUAUUACAGAACUGCAGAUAAGUUGUAAAUUAUCACUAAUACCCGGCCAUAUCGGAUCUACUGAUGAACGAAGAGAUUCUGAUAUUCUAUACUAUAUACUCAUUAAUAUCCUAUCUCAUCCUAAUUUUAUAUCGGCAAUAUGAUAAUCGGAACUUUUCA